UACGUAGGGGGCAAGCGUUAUCCGGAAUCACUGGGUGUAAAGGGAGCGUAGACGGCUGUGCAAGCCUGAAGUGAAAGGCGGGGGCCCAACCCCCGGACUGCUUUGGGAACUGUAUGGCUGGAGUGCAGGAGAGGUAAGUGGAAUUCCUAGUGUAGCGGUGAAAUGCGUAGAUAUUAGGAGGAACACCAGUGGCGAAGGCGGCUUACUGGACUGUAACUGACGUUGAGGCUCGAAAGCGUGGGGAGCAA
rnacentral:rRNA from 1 species